CACCGUGCAGAAGGUCUCAACAGCAUCCCUCUCUUAAGGCUGCAUCCUUGGAACACCUCCCACUGUGGGAACAGUGGGCAGAAGUUUUUUGACUGUGAAGCCUGUGGGAUCUUAGCUUCCCGACCAGGGAUCGAGCCCACACCCCCUGUGAAUGUGAAUGUGAAUUUGGAAAAACCUCCUCUCUUUGAUGUGACAAAGCACAUUCCCUCCAGAGGAGGAACAGAACUGCUUAUGCCAUUUUCCUAAAGAGAACACAAGGCUCAAAGGGACAGAGUUGGAAGUGAUGGAGCCAAGCAGAGAAAGGAACCCUACUUUAGAAAAACAAUGCAAAACUACAAACCUACAAAAUUAGCAGCAUCGAGAAAAGACCUGUCUUCUGCCAAAACUUAACCCAAACACACGCAGCAACUACCAUGAAGCUCUGGGCUCUCCUCCUCAUCAUGCUCACCUGUGAGGUUGUGAUGCUUCUGCCCGUGCUGGGAGGCCUCAAGCACAAACCUUUCUGUAGGUGAUGGGGCAAGGGAGGAAGGUGCUGUGCCCAGGCCUGGGAUGUCUGCCACAACCGAUUCAGGGCCUACCUUUCUAGGAUCACCCUUUAAAGGACCAGAAACUUCUUUUAAGCGGAGACAUCCAAGAAAGAUUAGGUUGAAUGUUCCCAAUCUGGCAUCGUUUCAAGCUUCCUCUCCCAGUUCUGAAAGCAAUAGUGGGUACAUCGAGAGGGAAUGUAGCUUUUGCCCACAUUCCAUAAGCUAGCAGGAAACAAUAUUUGCCAAUGUCAGACCACCUUGGGUAGAGGAAACACCAACACAGAACUUCCCUCUGAGCCCAUAUUUUCAGAAUCUCUGUGCCUGAU